rnacentral:rRNA from 1 species
ACGGCUCAGUAACACGUAGUCAAUCUAACCUAUGGACGGGGAUAACCUCGGGAAACUGAGGAUAAAACCCGAUAGAUCAUUAUACCUGGAACGGUUUAUGGUCCAAAUGAUUCGUCGCCGUAGGAUGGGACUGCGGCCUAUCAGCUUGUUGGUGAGGUAAUGGCCCACCAAGGCUAUUACAGGUACGGGCUCUGAGAGGAGAAGCCCGGAGAUGGGUACUGAGACACGGACCCAGGCCCUAUGGGGCGCAGCAGGCGAGAAACCUUUGCAAUGUGCGCAAGCACGACAAGGUUAAUCCGAGUGUUUCCUGCUAAAGGAAUCUUUUGUUAGUUCUAAAACCACUGAUGAAUAAGGGGUGGGCAAGUUCUGGUGUCAGCCGCCGCGGUAAAACCAGCACCUCAAGUGGUCAGGAGGAUUAUUGGGCCUAAAGCAUCCGUAGCCUGUUCUAUAAGUUUCCGGUUAAAUCCAUUAGCUCAACUAAUGGGCCGCCGAAAAUACUGUAGAACUAGGGAGUGGGAGAGGUAGACGGUACUCGGUAGGAAGGGGUAAAAUCCUUUGAUCUAUUGAUGACCACCUGUGGCGAAGGCGGUCUACCAGAACACGUUCGACGGUGAGGGAUGAAAGCUGGGGGAGCAAACCGGAUUAGAUACCCGGGUAGUCCCAGCUGUAAACGAUGCAGACUCGGUGAUGCGCUGGCUUGUGGCCAGUGCAGUGCCGCAGGGAAGCCGUUAAGUUUGCCGCCUGGGAAGUACGUACGCAAGUAUGAGACUUAAAGGAAUUGGGCGGGGGAGCACCACAAGGGGUGAAGCCUGCGGUUCAAUUGGAGUCAACGCCGGG